UACGAAGGGGGCUAGCGUUGCUCGGAAUCACUGGGCGUAAAGCGCACGUAGGCGGAUUGCUAAGUCAGGGGUGAAAUCCUGGAGCUCAACUCCAGAACUGCCUUUGAUACUGAAGAUCUUGAGUUCGGGAGAGGUGAGUGGAACUGCGAGUGUAGAGGUGAAAUGCGCAGAUAUUAGGAAGAACACCGGUGGCGAAGGCGGCUCUCUGGAACGGUACUGACGCUGAGACGCGAAAGCGUGGGGAGCGAACAGG
rnacentral:rRNA from 1 species